UACAGAGGGUGCGAGCGUUAAUCGGAAUUACUGGGCGUAAAGCGUGCGUAGACGGUUAUUUAAGUCGGGUGUGAAAGCCCCGGGCUCAACCUGGGAAUUGCAUUCGAGACUGAAUAGCUAGGGUACGGUAGAGGGAAGUGGAAUUUCCGGUGUAGCGGUGAAAUGCGUAGAUAUCGGGAGGAACACCAGUGGCGAAGGCGACUACCUGGCCUGUUUCUUGACGCUGAGGCGCGAAAGCUAGGGGAGCAAACGGG
rnacentral:rRNA from 1 species